rnacentral:rRNA from 1 species
GACGAGCGCUGGCGGCGUGCCUAAUACAUGCAAGUAGAACGCUGAAGGAGGAGCUUGCUUCUCUGGAUGAGUUGCGAACGGGUGAGUAACGCGUAGGUAACCUGCCUGGUAGCGGGGGAUAACUAUUGGAAACGAUAGCUAAUACCGCAUAAUAGUAGAUGUUGCAUGACAUUUGCUUAAAAGGUGCAAUUGCAUCACUACCAGAUGGACCUGCGUUGUAUUAGCUAGUUGGUGAGGUAACGGCUCACCAAGGCGACGAUACAUAGCCGACCUGAGAGGGUGAUCGGCAACACUGGGACUGAGACACGGCCCAGACUCCUACGGGAGGCAGCAGUAGGGAAUCUUCGGCAAUGGACGGAAGGCUGACCGAGCAACGCCGCGUGAGUGAAGAAGGGUGUCGGAUCGGAAAGCUCUGUUGUAAGAGAAGAACGAGUGUGAGAGUGGAAAGUUCACACUGUGACGGUAUCUGACCAGAAAGGGACGGCUAACUACGUG